rnacentral:misc_RNA from 1 species
GAAAUGCGAUAAGUAGUGUGAAUUGCAGAAUUCAGUGAAUCAUCGAAUCUUUGAACGCACAUUGCGCCCCUUGGUAUUCCAUGGGGCAUGCCUGUUCGAGCGUCAUUUGUACCCUCAAGCUCUGCUUGGUGUUGGGUGUUUGUCCUCGUCUCCGCGCGUGGACUCGCCCCAAAGUGAUUGGCAGCCGGCGUACUGGUCCCGGAGCGCAGCACAUGUCGCGCAAACGAGUGCCUUGGUACGGCGGCGUCCAUAAGCCCCUCUCUCACGCUCUUGACCUCGGAUCAGGUAGGGAUACCCGCUGAACUUAAGC